UUGGAGGGCAAGUCUGGUGCCAGCAGCCGCGGUAAUUCCAGCUCCAAUAGCGUAUAUUAAAGUUGUUGCAGUUAAAAAGCUCGUAGUUGAAUUUCGGGGUUAGUAGGUUGGUCAUGCCACUGGUAUGUACUGGUCUCACUGAUUCCUCCUUCCUGAUGAGCCGUAAUGCCAUUAAUUUGGUGUUGCGAGGAAUCUGGACUGUUACUUUGAAAAAAUUAGAGUGUUUAAAGCAAGCUAACGCUUGAAUACAUUAGCAUGGAAUAAUGAAAUAGGACGUUCGAUCCUAUUUUGUUGGUUUCUAGGAUUGACGUAAUGAUUAAUAGGGAUAGUUGGGGGCAUUAGUAUUCAAUUGUCAGAGGUGAAAUUCUUGGAUUUAAUGAAGACUAACUACUGCGAGAGCAUUUGCCAAGGAUGUUUUCAUUAAUCAAGAACGAAAGUUAGGGGAUCGAAGACGAUCAGAUACCGUCGUAGUCUUAACCAUAAACAAUGCCGACUAGGGAUCGGAUGAUGUUAAUUUUUUAAUGACUCAUUCGGCGCCUUACGGAAAC
rnacentral:rRNA from 1 species